rnacentral:lncRNA from 1 species
UUUUAGCCGAAACUACUUAUAUUAUAAAACAGAGAGAGUAGCGUUUAGGGUUAAAAGUUUAGAAUUUAGAGUUUAUGGGUUAGAUUUUAGAAUUUAAGAUUUAUGUUAUAUUUAUAGAAUUGGUUUUAGAGAUUUUAAUAUUUUGAAGAAUUUUAAGAGAAAUAUAUAUUAUUUUACCAAAUUUCUAGUAGUAUUCAAAAAUUUAUAUUGCUACAUAAAAUAAGCUAACUUCUUUUCUAUGAAUUGUAGUUAUACGGGAAAAAAAAGAUUCUGUCAACAAGGUUACUUCUACAAGAACCUCAUUUCUUUUAUUU